rnacentral:lncRNA from 1 species
UGGAGAAAGUGACUGUUGGUGUGUUGUGAUUGGCUGAAGUAACGGAAGUGGCCACCAAAACACCAGUAGAAAAGCAAGAGGAAGCUGGCAAAGGGGAGGAGCCGAUCACCAGAGCGAGGGCUCACCGGGUGCUUCCCCACCGCACAAAAUUUGUAUGCUUUCGUGUUUCAGUCGAAAGUGUUCUUUGACGAGCGAGCGUCUUGGCCACAGUGGGUGUCCAUCUAAGACUUUAGGGCAUCAAAUGAAGAAAAUAAUUCAAUUAGUUAACCAUUCAGAUCUACAUGUAGGUACAGAAGAAACAAAUUCAAGUUUCACCAGACAUGUAUGAGGGAGAUGAAGGAGAUGAGCCCCGGAAAGCAUGGGUGAGGGGCAGCCAUAAGAACACGGUAGGAAGCAUUUAAUAAUGUCCAUACGGGCAAGGAAUGAAAGAAAAUGUAAUAAGAUUUGUUGAGGUCAAAGAGCACAACUGAUUUCCAUUUUAUCAUUAUGUGUUACAUUUACACUGUACAUUUUCUAUGAUAGGCAUAUUUCAUUUCUAAGUAUGAUUAUAUUUUAACAGUAUCUCGUAUAAAAUGAAAGCAGCCAUAUACUUAAAUCAAGUUGAAAUUGAGAUAGAAAAAAAAAAUGAAUGCCCAAUUUAAUGGGUUGCUUUGUUAAAACCCACUGGUUAAAAUGCAUUAAAUAUGUAAAUGCAUUAAAUGUGAAAAUAUUUAAUGUAUUAAUGAACAAAAUAGAGAACAAAUACAAAAGCUUUACAUUCAAACUCUAUUUUGAAAAGUUAAAACCAUGCUGGUCAUAAUUAGAUAUUUCUGGACGCCUUCUGAAAUUCAGAAAAUAUAGCCUAGAAUCCUGCAUUUAUCUUCUCUCCUUUAUGGGCCAUGCUUCAAGUUAAACAGACAGAUGUGAAGAAAGUUUUUCCCUAGAAAAGAAUUCCAGUCAAUUCAGAAAAGGAGUUGAAUUAAAAAAUACCACCUUGCAACUUCCUAUGAAAGAAUGGAGCUACGCGAUAGUUAACAGUGACCGUAAGUGGUAAAUCUUAAGAUGAACACACAAUUCUGGUCACAUCAGACUCAAUGACCAUUUUUUAGAGGUGGGACACACAGAACUCAUGCCUAGUGACAUGAUAUAAUAUUGAAUAUGGUUGUGAAAUAUUUUUGACCCUUAUGAAAAAUAAACAAAAACUUUAAUAAAACUUCUAGAUUUAGUGCCAGUAUAUAAGAACUAGAAAGCACAGGCUGUGUGGGCAUGUGAGUGCACUCCCAUAAUCCCAGAACUGAGAGGCUGAGGCAGGGGGAUGGUAAGCCCAAGACCAAGCUGGACUAUAUAGCAAGACCCUGUCUCACACACACACACACACACACACACACACACACACACACACACACACAUAAAUACAAACAAAACAACACCACAGGAUAAAACCAGAUUCAGGAAGUAGCAAAUUAAAAAAGAAAAAAGCAUUGUGUUAAAGAGAUAAAUGGUGUUGUGGUUUGAGUGAGAAUGGCUCCCACAUGUCUGAAUGCUUGGGCCACAGUUGAUGGGAAAUGGUUUGAGUAGGAUGAGGAGGUGUGGCCCUGUUGGAGGAGGUAUGUCAUGACUUGUUGGUUCCUGGGUUUCCAGCCCUGCACCCCUGGUGCUGUGGAUCAGAAGUGAGCUCUCAGCUUCUGCUCUGUCACCAGGCUGCUGCCGUGCUCCCCACCGUGACAGUCAUGGACGUAGCCCUCUAUAACUGUGAGCCCCAAAUGAAGUGCUUUCCAUUCUAAGUUCCCUGGGUCAGGACGUUCUGGCAAGGCAAUACAAAAGUAACCAACACAAAUGGCUCGGGAAGAAAGAGGGAGGAAAAACUGCUAAAUAGUAAGACCCUGAGACAGGUCACCAUCAAGACUCGACCUUAUUUUUUUAAUUAUAAAAUUAAUUGCUUUUAAAAAUAAAAGAUCUAUAAAUCAAAUUUAAUUAGUAACUUUUGGGGGUCCUAACUGGAAUGAAUGUGCUAUUUUUAAUAAGAUCAAAAAAUUUAAACAUAGACAAUUGAUAUAAUUAAAAUAAGAAUGUUAUCAGGAAUGGCAAUAAUAUUCUGAUUAUGUUCUUUUGAAGCCUGUAUUUUUAGUUUUGUACUGAAUUAUUCACAAGUGGGGGAUUAGUGAAGGUAUACACAUGGACUGAUUGAACACAAUUGGCGGAUAACUGCCAAGUAGGGGGAGGUUAAUAGCAUCAUCAUGUGUCAUAUUAUUCUAUGUCAUUUUAGAUAUAUUUGAAAAUGCAAUUAAAAAAAAAAAAACCCAAGUGGAAAAGACAGUGUGGCAUUAAAAUCUAAGACUUGAGACCAGGGGCACCUAUAGCCCUUUCAGACGCUAAGUCAACCGUCAACUUCAGAUUACACACCGUUCUCCAAAUGUCACCAUGUUGUUACUCUUCACAACUGACAUUCUCUGUUCCAAGAUUUGUAAUAAAUCGAGCCACCUAGCUACCUACAGGGGCUUCCUGUCUCUGCCAUUUGGAAGAGAGAAGAACAUGUUUCUAGAAUCACUCAAGUAUCUACCAAACAGCAACCUUUCAGCAGGUGACUACGACGGUGUUAAAAUUCACAGCCAGUUACUUCCUAGCAAGCAAUUCUACCAGCAGACUCACAUGGGUUCCUUAAGACAGAAGAGACAAAAGGAACAAGUAGCUAUGUGCAGUCAAAUGCACAAAUAUUGACCGACCACAUCCCACCAGGCAAUGAGAUUGAGUGCCCAAUCUGAAACCACACCAUGUAGAUACCAGGCACCAUGAGGCAGCUAAAACGCCUCUACAGGAUGCUGAAGCCUUCCCUGUAUCUCACUUCAGAUACAUCGAGCAGCUGUCAAGCCACAUCCGGUCUUCUGUUUCAGCCUUUCUCUUUCCUUUAUACCUUUGGGAACUAGGAUCUUAACAGAACUUCCAUGGCUUUCUCAAAAUAUUAAGAUAUUUUCUUGAUCAAAUCCUACAUAAGCAUGUAUAUAAACAUACACACACACUUGCGUUGGCUUCAACAUCAGCAGAUCUGAGCAUGUGUUCUUGAGUCCAGUAGCUCUCUAUGUCCCCAUCCUGAAAGUCCCACUUCACACCUACAGAACCAGCAGCCCAUGCUUUCGCCAAACAAUUCUGAAGAAAAGAGAAAAGUCAAGCAUUCGGUGGAACUACGUGAGACUAGAGGAAGCACUGCGGUUCCUUUUAACUCUUGAAAGCCUGGGAUGGAAUAGAGUAAGAUAUUCUAAUCCAACCCAGGAUAGGAACAGAGCCAUUAAGAGACCAAAGAAAGAGGAGAGAGGCCGUGUCUACACUCAGUGUUCUCACCUGUAAGCAUCUGAAUGAUUAGUAGCCUAAGAUUCCCUGCAAAAGGAGACCAUGAGAUGACCACCAGUCUCGGUGCCAGCAGGCCUCGGCAGCUUCCCAGGAUGGGGAGCAAGUUAGAGACUACAAGAACCCCACCUGGGACCACAGACCCUAGGAAGGAGGGCACCAUAGGCAGAUGACCCUCACAUGGGACCACUUGGGUGGGCCUAGGCUAGGAGCUAGCCUGAGAUGUCCACCAGUCUGGUGCUGUGCAACCCUUGAGGUACAGACCAUGCCCUACCUGGUUCCAUAAUGCACUAGUGGGUCAUAGCACUCUUGAGACCACUCCUGAAAUGACCCCAGGUACUCAGAGACCUCAGGUACCACUAAGAGGAACAAGUAAGUGUGGCGGAUAAAUAGAAGAAAAGGAGAAACAAAAGGAUAUGGGCAUGAUGUAGAGAGACAGAACUGGGGACUCAAGGGUAAUGAGGAACUAAUGUGAAUAGCCUGUGAUGCCACCUGGGACCAUUGUGAGGUCCUGACCUGUGCAGCCACUAGGGGCCAUCUCUGGGUCCAUAGCCCUGCAGCAGCAUGGGUCUGUUACCACCAAAGGCCAAGCAGACAUCCCUGGUCUGGGCUGCCAUCCAGGGACACAUUGAUAUCUGAAUGCUGUGCAGAACUGGCCCCACCCCUCACCUGGGCAUCAUGGGAGAGCUGGCCGUGGGGAUGUGAGAACAGGAGAGCUGUUCCUGCCCCUCACCUGCUGCAGCACUUAGGAGAGUUGGCCCUGCACCUUACCUGGUCAGCACGGUAGAACUGGCCCUAGACCUUGGGGCUGGGGAGGGAUGCAGGUCAGAUGCAUAAUGGGGUGAGCACAAAAGAGCCAGCCCUCCUCCUCCUCCUCCUUCUCCUCCUCUCCCUCCUCCCAGGAGAGCUGGCCCUGGAGUCAUGAGAGUGGG